rnacentral:rRNA from 1 species
GUCUUUUUGAUAAUUUAUUUAAAGUCUAAUCUGCUCACUGAAUUAAAAUUUAAAGAGCCGCAGUAUUUUGACUGUGCAAAGGUAGCAUAAUAAUUUGUUUUUUAAUUAAAAACUAGAAUGAAUGAUUGAACGAAAUAUAUUCUGUCUCAAUUUUAAUUUAAUAUAAAUUAAUUUUUUAGUUAAAAAGCUAAAAUUAAUUUAAAAGACGAGAAGACCCUAUAGAUUUUUAUAUAAAUAUAAAAUAAUUUGUAUGUAUAUAAAUAAAUAUAUUUAUUUAUAUUUAUAUUUUAUUGGGGUAAUAGAAAAAUAAAAUAAACUUUUAUUUAAUAAUAACAUAAAUUAAUGAAAAUUUGAUCCAAGUUUUUUGAUUAAAAGAUUAAAUUACCUUAGGGAUAACAGCGUAAUUUUAAUUUUAAGUUCUUAUUGAAAUUAAGGAUUGCGACCUCGAUGUUGGAUUAAGAAAAAUUUUAAAAGUAGAUUUUUAAAAUUUAGGUCUGUUCGACCUUUAAAAUCUU